GCGGGUCGCUACAGUAUAUUUUGACAUGUUUUAUUGAUUAACGAGAUGCAGCUUAUUGUUUUACCAUAAUUUGCCAUUUACUUUGAAACACUAUCAUUAUACUUUAUAUUUUACAUUGUUGUGUCUCAAUGGGCUAUAAAUAAGAGUUAAGCGCAAUGGUCAGGUCACUGAGGAAGACCUCAGUUUGACGUCGAAACGUUAGUCACCUGUUCGCGUCCUGUACGAUGGAUGAAAGUGACCAUAAAGAAAUCAAUAUCUGCCUUUGCCAGGUACGCUGCUACUUAAUAUUUGAAUUGAGUUGUUUUUUGUAACUGUUGGAUGAGAAAGUGCAUGCACUGCAGCCUCAAUUAGCCUAGCUAGCUAACGUUAGCUAGCUUAACUAGCUUCUCCCGGUUUGAUGCAGUCAAGACAGGUUCUUCGUAAUCAUAUUUGCUGAUAAAUAACAUAUGACAGCUAUUAGUCUACUAUAGCGCGAAUCGGCUUGGUUGGUUGCUGUCUCUCCCUCCCUCCUCCUCUCCAUGUCACUUGCUCAGAGUACAGACCCUCCCCGCCUGCUUAGAGCGCCGCCUCUCCCUCGUGAUUUAUCAGCUCCGGUUAAUAAAGUAGCUUUAAAAAAUAAAAAUAAACUUUUCUGCUGCUUUCUACACUUGGAUCGGAUCUGGAUCCGACCAAGUCUCUACGAAAUGGGUCUAGUUGUCCUCAAUUCCAUUUGGAACUGGUCUCUAUAUUUAAAAUAAUAAUAAUUUAUGCGCAUCGGGUCCGGGUGGAAAUCCCCAGGUACAUGUCGGAACAGGUCCAACUUUUUGGAACCUGAUAGCGACUCCGACUGGGAGCCCCCGGUGCCAAGCUGCCCGCUCUACCUCUGCCCCCUCUACUCCUGCCUCCAGUGGUGUUCAUAUGCCACAGUUCAUUACUGCAGGCAUAACUGUGCCUCAGGGCCAAAAGGGCACAGCAUGAUGGAGGCGUCGUUGUGUCUGUGUCGCAUGACCUGCACCACUUGUUCAGUUUGCCUCUGCUUUACAUCAGAAAGAGACUGCUAUGGGACAUGG